rnacentral:misc_RNA from 1 species
UUACUGGUGAUAAUGUUUGUAGACUGACGUGUAUUUUAUUAUUCUGAAAAAGAUUUUUAAUCUUUUACUGGUGAUAAUGAUUGUAGACUGACAUGUAUUUUAUUAUUCUGAAAGCUUGCUGUAGUACAUGUUGAAAUCAGAUAUUGCAGCAUUUUAUUAUGUAAUUUAUGUUGGGAAACUUUUGUAUUCAGUUUUAUGAUAUUGUAACUUGUGUUUAUGGCUAUUCCCUAAUG